rnacentral:rRNA from 1 species
GACGAACGCUGGCGGCGUGCUUAACACAUGCAAGUCGAACGCUGAAGCUUGGUGCUUGCACUGGGUGGAUGAGUGGCGAACGGGUGAGUAAUACGUGAGUAACCUGCCCUUGACUCUGGGAUAAGCCUGGGAAACUGGGUCUAAUACUGGAUACGACAUGUCACCGCAUGGUGGUGUUUGGAAAGGGUUUUACUGGUUUUGGAUGGGCUCACGGCCUAUCAGCUUGUUGGUGGGGUAAUGGCUCACCAAGGCGACGACGGGUAGCCGGCCUGAGAGGGUGACCGGCCACACUGGGACUGAGACACGGCCCAGACUCCUACGGGAGGCAGCAGUGGGGAAUAUUGCACAAUGGGCGGAAGCCUGAUGCAGCGACGCCGCGUGAGGGAUGACGGCCUUCGGGUUGUAAACCUCUUUCAGCACGGAAGAAGCGAAAGUGACGGUACGUGCAGAAGAAGCGCCGGCUAACUACGUG